UACGUAGGUGGCAAGCGUUGUCCGGAUUUACUGGGCGUAAAGAGCGCGCAGGCGGUCGUUCAAGUCGCGUGUGAAAGCCCCCGGCUCAACUGGGGAGGGUCACGCGAUACUGAUCGACUCGAAGGCAGGAGAGGGUAGUGGAAUUCCCGGUGUAGUGGUGAAAUUCGUAGAUAUCGGGGAGGAACACCAGUGGCGAAGGCGGCGCUCUGGGGCCGGAACUGACGCUGAGGAGCGAAAGCGUGGGGAGCGAUCCGG
rnacentral:rRNA from 1 species